AUGAACGCUAGCUACAGGCUUAACACAUGCAAGUCGAGGGGCAGCAUGGUCUUAGCUUGCUAAGGCCGAUGGCGACCGGCGCACGGGUGAGUAACACGUAUCCAACCUGCCGUCUACUCUUGGACAGCCUUCUGAAAGGAAGAUUAAUACAAGAUGGCAUCAUGAGUCCGCAUGUUCACAUGAUUAAAGGUAUUCCGGUAGACGAUGGGGAUGCGUUCCAUUAGAUAGUAGGCGGGGUAACGGCCCACCUAGUCUUCGAUGGAUAGGGGUUCUGAGAGGAAGGUCCCCCACAUUGGAACUGAGACACGGUCCAAACUCCUACGGGAGGCAGCAGUGAGGAAUAUUGGUCAAUGGGCGAGAGCCUGAACCAGCCAAGUAGCGUGAAGGAUGACUGCCCUAUGGGUUGUAAACUUCUUUUAUAAAGGAAUAAAGUCGGGUAUGGAUACCCGUUUGCAUGUACUUUAUGAAUAAGGAUCGGCUAACUCCGUGCCAGCAGCCGCGGUAAUACGGAGGAUCCGAGCGUUAUCCGGAUUUAUUGGGUUUAAAGGGAGCGUAGAUGGAUGUUUAAGUCAGUUGUGAAAGUUUGCGGCUCAACCGUAAAAUUGCAGUUGAUACUGGAUAUCUUGAGUGCAGUUGAGGCAGGCGGAAUUCGUGGUGUAGCGGUGAAAUGCUUAGAUAUCACGAAGAACUCCGAUUGCGAAGGCAGCCUGCUAAGCUGCAACUGACAUUGAGGCUCGAAAGUGUGGGUAUCAAACAGGAUUAGAUACCCUGGUAGUCCACACGGUAAACGAUGAAUACUCGCUGUUUGCGAUAUACUGCAAGCGGCCAAGCGAAAGCGUUAAGUAUUCCACCUGGGGAGUACGCCGGCAACGGUGAAACUCAAAGGAAUUGACGGGGGCCCGCACAAGCGGAGGAACAUGUGGUUUAAUUCGAUGAUACGCGAGGAACCUUACCCGGGCUUAAAUUGCAGAUGAAUUACGGUGAAAGCCGUAAGCCGCAAGGCAUCUGUGAAGGUGCUGCAUGGUUGUCGUCAGCUCGUGCCGUGAGGUGUCGGCUUAAGUGCCAUAACGAGCGCAACCCUUGUUGUCAGUUACUAACAGGUUCCGCUGAGGACUCUGACAAGACUGCCAUCGUAAGAUGUGAGGAAGGUGGGGAUGACGUCAAAUCAGCACGGCCCUUACGUCCGGGGCUACACACGUGUUACAAUGGGGGGUACAGAAGGCGGCUACCUGGUGACAGGAUGCUAAUCCCAAAAACCUCUCUCAGUUCGGAUCGAAGUCUGCAACCCGACUUCGUGAAGCUGGAUUCGCUAGUAAUCGCGCAUCAGCCAUGGCGCGGUGAAUACGUUCCCGGGCCUUGUACACACCGCCCGUCAAGCCAUGAAAGCCGGGGGUACCUGAAGUACGUAACCGCAAGGAGCGUCCUAGGGUAAAACUGGUAAUUGGGGCU
rnacentral:rRNA from 1 species